AGUGAACGCUGGCGGUAGGCCUAACACAUGCAAGUCGAACGGCAGCACAGUAAGAGCUUGCUCUUACGGGUGGCGAGUGGCGGACGGGUGAGGAAUACAUCGGACUCUACUUUUUCGUGGGGGAUAACGUAGGGAAACUUACGCUAAUACCGCAUCCGACCUACGGGUGAAAGCAGGGGAUCUUCGGACCUUGCGCGAUUGAAUGAGCCGAUGUCGGAUUAGCUAGUUGGCGGGGUAAAGGCCCACCAAGGCGACGAUCCGUAGCUGGUCUGAGAGGAUGAUCAGCCACACUGGAACUGAGACACGGUCCAGACUCCUACGGGAGGCAGCAGUGGGGAAUAUUGGACAAUGGGCGCAAGCCUGAUCCAGCCAUACCGCGUGGGUGAAGAAGGCCUUCGGGUUGUAAAGCCCUUUUGUUGGGAAAGAAAAGCAGCAGGUUAAUACCCCGCUGUUCUGACGGUACCCAAAGAAUAAGCACCGGCUAACUUCGUG
rnacentral:rRNA from 1 species